UACAGAGGGUGCGAGCGUUAAUCGGAAUUACUGGUCGUAAAGCGUGCGUAGACGGUUUCGUAAGUCGGGUGUGAAAUCCCCGGGCUCAACCUGGGAAUUGCAUUCGAAACUGCGAGGCUAGGGUACGGAAGAGGGAAGCGGAAUUUCUGGUGUAGCGGUGAAAUGCGUAGAUAUCAGAAGGAACAUCAGUGGCGAAAGCGGCUUCCUGGUCCAGUACCGACGUUCAGGCACGAAAGCGUGGGGAGCAAACAGG
rnacentral:rRNA from 1 species